rnacentral:rRNA from 1 species
GAUGAACGCUGGCGGCGUGCCUAAUACAUGCAAGUCGAGCGAACAGAUGAGGAGCUUGCUCCUCUGACGUUAGCGGCGGACGGGUGAGUAACACGUGGAUAACCUACCUAUAAGACUGGGAUAACUUCGGGAAACCGGAGCUAAUACCGGAUAAUAUAUUGAACCGCAUGGUUCAAUAGUGAAAGACGGUUUUGCUGUCACUUAUAGAUGGAUCCGCGCCGCAUUAGCUAGUUGGUAAGGUAACGGCUUACCAAGGCAACGAUGCGUAGCCGACCUGAGAGGGUGAUCGGCCACACUGGAACUGAGACACGGUCCAGACUCCUACGGGAGGCAGCAGUAGGGAAUAUUCCGCAAUGGGCGCAAGCCUGACGGAGCAACGCCGCGUGAGUGAUGAAGGUCUUCGGAUCGUAAAACUCUGUUAUUAGGGAAGAACAAAUGUGUAAGUAAAUAUGCACGUCUUGACGGUACCUAAUCAGAAAGCAACGGCUAACUACGUG